UUUCUUUCCUUUUCCUUUCUUUUUUUAUUGGAUAGUGGAUUAUAGUUCUCUUGUUUGUGUUUGUUUUAGCUGGGACAGAUCAUGGAGCCCUGGCUAUCAGUUCGUCUCAAAGUGUUCUCCUAUGAGUUGAUGUCUAUCGGCAGGUUACAGGGAUUUGUGACAGCUAACCAGGAGAUGGGCAGUCUUUGUAUAGGGCCAGUGUGGCACACAACCCACCCCGGGAACUUAUCGAGAUGGAUGGUUGCUGUUGGGGCUAGCCAUGGAGACGGUGAGGCCACUGCUGGGGCCAGAGAAGGCUGUGCUAACGUGGAUGAGAGCAGUAAAACCAGAAGCUCCUAUUGGUCAGGACAGUUCUCAUGAAUCCUUCACUGAUAUGGAUAAACCAUGGAGAGAAUCUGCCUUCUACUGGAUAUCUACCACUGGUCAAUGCAGACCAUCAGACUAGCAGUUGGGAACCCCAUCUAAAACAAUAACAAAUGGUGGGGGGUGGUGUUGUACGUUCAAUCCCUGCACUUGGGAGGCAGAGGUAGGGAGAUCUAUAUGAGUUUCAGGCCAGCCUGGUCUACACAAUGAUUCUAGGUCAACCAGAAGAAUGAUGUGAAACCCUGUGUCUAAGGCAAUAAUUUAACAAAUAAAUAAGUGAAUAAAAAAGUAGAAAUGUG
rnacentral:lncRNA from 1 species